UGGGGAAUUUUGGACAAUGGGCGCAAGCCUGAUCCAGCCAUGCCGCGUGCGGGAAGAAGGCCUUCGGGUUGUAAACCGCUUUGUCAGGGAAGAAAUCUUCUGAGUUAAUACCUCGGGAGGAUGACGGUACCUGAAGAAUAAGCACCGGCUAACUACGUGCCAGCAGCCGCGGUAAUACGUAGGGUGCAAGCGUUAAUCGGAAUUACUGGGCGUAAAGCGUGCGCAGGCGGUUUUGUAAGACAGAGGUGAAAUCCCCGGGCUCAACCUGGGGACUGCCUUUGUGACUGCAAGGCUUGAGUGCGGCAGAGGGGGGAUGGAAUUCCGCGUGUAGCAGUGAAAUGCGUAGAUAUGCGGAGGAACACCGAUGGCGAAGGCAAUCCCCUGGGCCUGCACUGACGCUCAUGCACGAAAGCGUGGGGAGCAAACAGGAUUAGAUAGCCCUGGUAGUCCACGCCCUAAACCGAUGUCAACUGGUUGUUGGGAAGGUUCCUUCUCAGUAACGUAGCUAACGCGUGAAGUUGACCGCCUGGGGAGUACGGCCGCAAGGUUGAAA
rnacentral:rRNA from 1 species